AGCCCGAGUAAACGGCGGCCGUAACUAUAACGGUCCUAAGGUAGCGAAAUUCCUUGUCGGUUAAAUACCGACCUGCAUGAAUGGCGUAACGAGAUGGGAGCUGUCUCAACCAGAGAUUCAGUGAAAUUGUAGUGGAGGUGAAAAUUCCUCCUACCCGCGGCAAGACGGAAAGACCCCG
rnacentral:rRNA from 1 species